UCUAUAAGUAAGAAAAAUUGAACUAAUUAUAGAUGUGCACAAAACACAAAUGAACAUGCAAAUAAACAAAGAAAAUGUCACUUUCAGUUGCAGCAAAAUCAACUUUCUCAGUCCAUUUCAUUAAAGUUCAUAAUUUCAUCAAAUUGAAAAAGAAUUUUAUUUUUUGAUACUUUCAGCUUUACCAACGAGGUAGAUGUCGAGAAUUUCAAAGCGUUCGACCUUAAUGGCGAUGGAAUCCUCCAUUUCAGUGAAACUUUCACAACUUUCAGGGACGUUGAUACGAAUGAUGAUGGAGUCUGGAGCUUUGAAGAGUUCGCUGAUAAUUAUCCUCCAGAUUUUCCUUCUCUUCGAGCUCAAAUCGCAUUUGACUUUGCGGACUCCCUGGACUCCGCAGUCGACGGUGUCAUCGAUUCAUCGGUGGCAUGCGCAUUUUUCAGCAUCAUGGAUGUGGACAACAACAGGAAAGCAAUUUUAGGAGAAUACAAAAACGCAUCCCAUCAGGUAAGAUCGUCAUGUUGUAGACAUUCGGUGACAUACAUACUGAAAGAGAAGGGUAGGUAGAUGAAUAAUGUUAUAAAAAAUGAAAGACUAUAAUUUAUCAAGAGAGAUUACCUCUUGGGAAUAACAGAUGAGCUUUAACUGUAAUUUGGCAAGUCAAAAACUAAAUAACCCCUUCUGUGGUUUUCAAUGUUUCUUGCCAGGACAAGAUCAUCUGCACCGACUGUUUCAAACUGCAUUUUUAGAAACUAAAAGUUUAUUCAUAGUCCUGAAAAAUAAAAACCACUUUUAGCGAUGAAAUAGUAAAAGACUUUAAACCAAAUAUUCACGUAAAGACGAGAAAGCGGAUAGCCGAGUGGUUAGAGUUGUGGUGUCCAAACAGACAGCGCCCUGGUUCGAUGCCUGAUCAACGCAGCAAACUU